rnacentral:lncRNA from 1 species
UUUAGGGACCAGGACCAGGAUAAAGACUCAAUCCCAUCACUGGCUCUAAUUCGCAACCUUAAUUUGUCCUAGGAAUCACGAGCACACGACCAGACCAAGCCCGCGCUGCUUCGCGGGUACGAUUAUUAAUAAAGACAAACCGUACCGCGGGGGGCGGGGGAAGCCUUCUUACUCGGCGAACGCGGCGGCGGAGGCGGAGGUCGGCGGUGGCGGGGGCGGGAGGCAGGCGGCGAUGGUGGAGAAGCCCUGGCGCUGCUUGUGCUUCUGGUUGGAGGUGCAGUGGAUGAAGAC